rnacentral:lncRNA from 1 species
GUAAAAAAGGAAGAUUUUGUGUGAAGCAGGGUUAAGCCGUGAAGACAGGAAUUUCAAAAGCUUGGGCAUUAGCAGAACAUGACAGACCUGACCUGAGAUGCAGGGCCUCUUUGUGUGCUUCCUUCAGUGCUCCUUGCUUUCUGCAUAUCACUCAUUUGUGACGGCAGGUCUGGCAACUCUCCCCCAUUAGAUGCUGGAAGGGCUGUCCAUCAGAUGGCUGAGAGCUGAAGCAAUGUUUCUACAUCAUUGCAACCAAUCAGGCAAGCAAAGCAGAUUUCAGAACUGGAGGAACAUUAAUGUACUAAAAUAGGACCGAGUCCUGAAACCCUAGCCUGGCCGGGGGAAAAAAUCUCCAUUGUCUUCAGUGGGAGCUGCCUGGCGUGACGUUACCGCAGUGCCGCUCCGUCAGCACGCAGUGGCAUGCAGCAGGGACGGACCCAGGCGCUGUGCAGCGCAGUGAGCACGCAGCCCCGCCGAGAGUCCACCACGCACAUCUCUGCUUUGCUUCAUCGCUUUGGUCCAAGCUCCUGAGCCAAUGUCUCUGUCCCCAUUCAGCUCCAGGCUUUCCGAAAGUGAGUUUGUGCCACCUUGCCCAGUGUGAUGUACUGACUGGUGCUCUGCUGCACUCAUUACGUGUCCUGGUGGUUUGCAGGACAGCACUGUGCAACUUAACAGGAUUUUUCCUCCUUUUGUUCUUUUCUCUUUUCUUCUUCUUCUUUUCUUUCUUUCUUUUUUUUUUAAGAAACAGCCACAGAAUAACAUUUAGACUUCUUUAUUGUGAUUCUGUUCAUUUUAAAGCCAAAUCAGCAUUUCCAAUCUGAUUGGUAAAAAACCACUCUGGAAAUAUUUUGAAAAAAAAAAAAUAGCGUUACUAUUGGGAUUCCUUACAGAAAAGGAUUUGCAGUGCCCAGGGAGUGGGCCAACCAUCUUCCUUCUCUGUAAAGCAAAAAGCAAAGACUUUUAAAGCUCAGUGUUAAUGGUGUUACAGUUCGGUACAGCCAGCAUCCGCUGACAGGUGUCAGGUCGUCAGAAAGGUGAAGUUACUUAAUUUAUCCGUUGUUGAAGUUGUUCAGUCUCCCCGUCGUAGGAUUCCUGGAAUUAAUUUGCGUCUGGCUUUU